AGGAGCUGAUGAAAUACUUUGGCGAGAGCAAUGACUAGUUUUGUUAUAUUAAGUUGUGGUUUGUUUCCAGUGUGGAAGGAGAAAAAGUCAUUUACGAUUGCUCAACAUUCUUGGGUUUUAGGUUUGUCGGAUCCACAAAGACUGCUUGGGAAUUCAUCCCUGAAGUAAACCAACAUGAAAUGUAGGCACGGAAUGCAGGGAACUUUCUGAUAAUGAGGUAACAAAGGGUGAGGAAUGACUUCCGCAGGAUCUCCAGAGUAGCUUCCAGGGACUGCUACAUCCUCUGCUGUCUUCAAAAAUGGGCCCUCUCUUCACGAAAUACUCCCCAGUCUCUCCCAUGUGCACUCUUUCCUCCCCACCAAUCCCCUGCUGGCCUU